GUCGCCUUCGUCUAGUGGUCUAGGACACCGCACUUUCACUGCGGCAGCACGGGUUCAAAUCCCGUAGGCGACACCA
rnacentral:tRNA from 1 species